rnacentral:rRNA from 1 species
UACGUAGGGUGCAAGCGUUAAUCGGAAUUACUGAGCGUAAAGCGUGCGCAGGCGGUGAUGUAAGACAGUUGUGAAAUCCCCGGGCUCAACCUGGGAACUGCAUCUGUGACUGCAUUGCUGGAGUGCGGCAGAGGGGGAUGGAAUUCCGCGUGUAGCAGUGAAAUGCGUAGAUAUGCGGAGGAACACCGAUGGCGAAGGCAAUCCCCUGGGCCUGCACUGACGCUCAUGCACGAAAGCGUGGGGAGCAAACAGG